rnacentral:lncRNA from 1 species
ACUGUGCCUCACGUUCCUUCCAACGGCGCCUUCCAUCCCAGCUGGGCGGGGCUUCGCCGUGUUACCUUCUCAACAUGGCGAGCUUGCUGGACGUCACGUCGCCUUCGCCUUUUCCGCUGCGGACUCUGCUCACCGACCUCCUCAGUAGAGCCGGCCCUGCUCACUACCGCGCCCACGUGUCCUGUUGUGCUUCAUUCCCACAGGCCGCAUAAGAUAUUCACUGAGCACCUAAUAUUGCCAGGCUGUGCUCAAGGCAGUGGGAUUCAUCAGUGAACAAUACAGACAAAAAUCACUGACCUAAAUGGAGCUUGAAGUUUAUAUCUAAAUCAUUCAAAGAUUCUGUGGUGGAAAAGAAGUUAGAAAUCUUUCAGCUGCAAAACAUAAGCCAAAAUACAACUCACCUUUGGAAUCAGAGAACUUACAGGUUCAUAAAAUUGCGAAGCCCAGAUGUGCACCUGAGGUGAGACUUCGUCCAGCUUCUGUCUGUGUCACUAAUCUUUCCUGCUUUCAGCGGCAUCCCUCGCAGGCCCGUGUUGUUCCCAACUGGUGUUCCCACCUGGCGGCAAACUGGUGACUGUAGUUACAGAUCUUCAACAUCACACUCAGGAGAAGAAGGAGAUUGCUUUUCAGGAGCUCCUGCAAGCCGGAGAAUAAAAGCUCUUAUUUAUUCAGAAGCCCUAAAACAUACCACCUUGGCUAUAGACUAUUUGGACAUUUCUAAGCAAAUCUGUCUGCAAAGGUGCUGAGCUGUGUUGAUCAACUGAAGCCCGUGACGUCUCAUCCUUGCAGUUGGAGCAAAUCUCAAAGGCAAAGCCAGUGUUAAGGAGAGGGAAAUCAGACUUCAUCUUUCGAUGGGAGAAGAAAAGAGUUUGCAACUGUCUCUAUUCUGCCACUGGCAGAGAAUCCAUAGGUUUGCUAAGGAUACAGAGCCACAUUGAAAAGAUAAACCUUGCUAUGCUGGAGAUUACUUAGGUGGGCCAGGAUUUCUUGAAACCAAAACUUUACUGAAUCACCUCUUCACCAUCUGUAUGCCGUGCAUUUGCUGAGAGAUAAAAACAUUCCUGUGAAAGAUGCCCUUCCCUGCACCGGGAGAAAAGAAGCAUUCUGCGACCAGGAGCCAUAGCGAAGAUAAUUCUGUAGAAACAGACCGUGGUAAAAUAAUGCCUAUCUUCCUGCAGCCUCCCCACGUAAUUUAGUUACUUUUCCACAGCUGCUUCUUUUUGCUCAACCUAAUAUCAAAGCAGUUAGGUAUUGCCAUUUCUUUGGGUCUUCAUUUUCUUAUUCAGGCUCCUGUGCCAUGUAAAACCUCUAUUAAAUUUGUAUGAUUUUCUCCUGAUAACCUACCUAUGUCAACUUCACUCUCAGAUCCAGCCAGGAACUAAGAAGGCAGAGGUAGAGUCUCACUUCUCCUCUACAGCAACAGCAAAUGAGGCCGCACCAGAUAAAGAAGCCAGGAGACUUGUGUCAAAACCCACUUCACACACGGAUUGGCUCUGUGAAUGUAGCAUCUUGCUCUGUUGCCCAAGCUGGAGUGCAGU